rnacentral:rRNA from 1 species
UACAGAUGGUGCGAGCGUUAAUCGGAAUUACUGGGCGUAAAGCGUGCGUAGACGGUAGCGUAAGUCAGAUGUGAAAGCCCCGGGCUCAACCUGGGAAUUGCAUUUGAGACUGCUCUGCUCGGGUGCGGAAGAGGGAAGCGGAAUUUCCGGUGUAGCGGUGAAAUGCGUAGAUAUCGGAAGGAACACCAGUGGCGAAAGCGGCUUCCUGGUCCGACACCGACGUUCAGGCACGAAAGCGUGGGGAGCAAACAGG